GCUAGCGGCAGGCCUAACACAUGCAAGUCGAGGGGUAACAGAGAGUGCUUGCACUUUGCUGACGACCGGCGCACGGGUGCGUAACGCGUAUACAAUCUACCUUUUGCUGAGGGAUAGCCCAGAGAAAUUUGGAUUAACACCUCAUAGUAUAUAGAAUUGGCAUCGAUUUUAUAUUAAAGGUUACGGCAAAAGAUGAGUAUGCGUUCUAUUAGCUAGAUGGUGUGGUAACGGCACACCAUGGCAACGAUAGAUAGGGGCCCUGAGAGGGGGAUCCCCCACACUGGUACUGAGACACGGACCAGACUCCUAC
rnacentral:rRNA from 1 species